rnacentral:rRNA from 1 species
AUACGGAGGAUGCGAGCGUUAUCCGGAUUUAUUGGGUUUAAAGGGAGCGUAGGUGGGAUAUUAAGUCAGCUGUGAAAGUUUGGGGCUCAACCUUAAAAUUGCAGUCGAUACUGGUUUCCUUGAGUACGGUACAGGUGGGCGGAAUUCGUGGUGUAGCGGUGAAAUGCUUAGAUAUCACGAAGAACUCCGAUUGCGAAGGCAGCUCACUGGACUGCAACUGACACUGAUGCUCGAAAGUGUGGGUAUCAAACAGGAUUAGAUACCCUGGUAGUCCACACAGUAAACGAUGAAUACUCGCUGUUUGCGAUAUACAGUAAGCGGCCAAGCGAAAGCAUUAAGUAUUCCACCUGGGGAGUACGCCGGCAACGGUGAAACUCAAAUGAAUUGACGGGG